UACGAAGGGGGCUAGCGUUGCUCGGAAUCACUGGGCGUAAAGCGCACGUAGGCGGCUUGUUAAGUCAGGGGUGAAAUCCUGGAGCUCAACUCCAGAACUGCCUUUGAUACUGGCGAGCUCGAGUCCGGGAGAGGUGAGUGGAACUGCGAGUGUAGAGGUGAAAUUCGUAGAUAUUCGCAAGAACACCAGUGGCGAAGGCGGCUCACUGGCCCGGUACUGACGCUGAGGUGCGAAAGCGUGGGGAGCAAACAGGG
rnacentral:rRNA from 1 species